rnacentral:rRNA from 1 species
UACGUAGGGCGCGAGCGUUGUCCGGAUUUAUUGGGCGUAAAGGGCUUGUAGGCGGCUUGUCGCGUCGGAUGUGAAAACCCGUGGCUCAACUGCGGGCCUGCAUUCGAUACGGGCUGGCUAGAGUACGGCAGGGGAGACUGGAAUUCCUGGUGUAGCGGUGGAAUGCGCAGAUAUCAGGAGGAACACCGGUGGCGAAGGCGGUUCUCUGGGCAUGUCCUGACGCUGAGGAGCGAAAGUGUGGGGAGCGAACAGG